rnacentral:rRNA from 1 species
CAGUAGCCGCGGUAAUACGAAGGGGGCUAGCGUUACUCGGAAUUACUGGGCGUAAAGGGCGCGUAGGCGGCACGAUUAGUCAGGCGUGAAAUUCCUGGGCUCAACCUGGGGACUGCGCUUGAUACGGUCGAGCUAGAGGAUGGAAGAGGGUCGUGGAAUUCCCAGUGUAGCGGUGAAAUGCGUAGAGAUCUGGAGGAAUACCGAUGGCGAAGGCAGCCAUCUGGCCUAAUACUGACGCUGAGGUACGAAAGCAUGGGGAGCAAACAGGAUUAGAUACCCGAGUAGUCCCUGUCUCUUAUAC